AGGGUUCGAUUCUGGCUCAGGAUGAACGCUAGCUACAGGCUUAACACAUGCAAGUCGAGGGGCAGCAUAUCGGUAGCUUGCUACCGAUGAUGGCGACCGGCGCGACGGGUGAGUAACGCGUACUCCCUAACCUUCCCCUUACUAGAGGAUACGCCCGGCGAAAGUCGGAUUAAUACUGUAUAUUGUUCAAUGCGGGCAUCUAAGUUGAAUGAAAGGUUUACCGGUAAGGGAUGGGGAUGCGUCUGAUUAGGUUGUUGGCGGGGUAACGGCCCACCAAGCCAUCGAUCAGUAGGGGUUCUGAGAGGAAGGUCCCCCACAUUGGAACUGAGACACGGUCCAAACCCCUACGGGAGGCAGCAGUGAGGAAUAUUGGUCAAUGGGCGAGAGCCUGAACCAGCCAAGUAAGCGUGCAGGAAGACGGCCCUAUGGGUUGUAAACUGCUUUUAUACAGGGAUAAAGUCGGGGACGUGUCCCCGUUUGUAGGUACUGUAUGAAUAAGGACCGGCUAAUUCCGUGCCAGCAGCUGC
rnacentral:rRNA from 1 species